GCAACCCCCAUUUCCCCUUCAUUUUCUUUUUCUAUUUUCUCCUUCACCGAUCCCUACCUCCAGCCGCACCCUCCAACCGACCACCAUCGCUUUCAUCCUUCUUUUCUUCUCCGAUCCACGGUCGCCGCCCCUAUUCUUCUUCCGUUUCUCUUUCUUUUCUACCAUACCCAGCCGCCGCUGCAACCGUCGGCCGCCAUCUCUGUUCGCGAAGCAAGGCCGCCGUGUGACCUUCCGCCCAGCGCCGUGUGACCCUUCGCCCAGCGCCGUUUGACCCUCUGCCCAGCGCCGCGCAACCUCUGUCUCCGCGCCGUCGUCCAGAUCUGCGUCGCCGUGCCCCGUCCUAAUCGCCUCUGUCUCCGUCGAAGCCAAGCCCAGCCGCCGCCCAUUCCUUUCUCCUCCGUUUUCUGCACUGCCGCGCGACUCUCCGUCCGUCUGUAUACAGUCUCUCCGUCGCACGUCGUCUCUUCGCAAAGCUGCUGCUCGACUUCUUCCGCGAAUAACACCUUUGACGUCCGCGCAAUCAGGUUUUAAUUCGCUACCGUGAACCGAACUAAAGACCCCAGAUCCAACUUUCUGCGCGUCGAGUUCCUUCUUCGUCCUGCCGCAGGUAGCAAACCCACGCCAUUCGAUUGGGUUGUUCGCUGUCGUUCCUGCUUUGCCACGAGUCAUUAAAUUUUGAUUGGUUGAAGGUAACACUCGAAUUCAUUGGGUUCGCAGCAAACAAUUGAUUCUAGUUGGAACUCGUUUUGUGAAGAUUUGGGUUCGUUCUUCGUAGACUUCAACGUGGUUAAGGAGCUUAACUAACUUGAAAGCAAAGGUAAUAAAGACGGCAAACCGGCGACGAG